rnacentral:rRNA from 1 species
AGCGAACGCUGGCGGCAGGCCUAACACAUGCAAGUCGAACGAACCUUUCGGGGUUAGUGGCGGACGGGUGAGUAACACGUGGGAACGUGCCUUUAGGUUCGGAAUAACUCAGGGAAACUUGUGCUAAUACCGAAUGUGCCCUUCGGGGGAAAGAUUUAUCGCCUUUAGAGCGGCCCGCGUCUGAUUAGCUAGUUGGUUGAGGUAAUGGCUCACCAAGGCGACGAUUAGUAGCUGGUCUGAGAGGAUGAUCAGCCACAUUGGGACUGAGACACGGCCCAAACUCUUACGGGAGGCAGCAGUGGGGAAUCUUGCGCAAUGGGCGAAAGCCUGACGCAGCCAUGCCGCGCGAAUGAUGAAGGUCUUAGGAUUGUAAAAUUCUUUCACCGGGGACGAUAAUGACGGUACCCGGAGAAGAAGCCCCGGCUAACUUCGUG